GACACCACCCCAGCCAGCAUGGCCGGCAGGAGCGCACCGCGCUGUCUCCCUCCAGGGAUCCGCACCGCCCUACAAUCCUGCUUUGUGCUGAGAUUGUAGUCCUGCAGGCGUACAACUAACAAGCUGGGUGCAGAUAAGAGACUACAGCUCCCCGCAUCCCAAGCAAAGGUCCCUCCUCUACGGAGCCCCUCCACGCGUCCACUGCGGUUCCGCCGUGCCAAGGGGAGCUUGGCUGUUCACGGGCCUCACCUGCUAGCGAGAAGAUAGCUUGGCCGGGCGGCUGAUCUCACCUUGUAAUUCUGACACUGUGUCUCCCGGGCUUGUCGGCUUCAUGACUUGUGCCCAAAGUUUGAUUUCUCGCAGACCAGGAGGACCCAUUGGACCCCCGGGCUGGCUGCAGGGCCCACACCUGGGUUAGACCUCGCACAGGGACGCUGCUGCCACUGUAAUAAAGCGUGCCUACACGCUUCUGAAACUGGUGUAGGAACAACCUCAGUUCUGUGAAAGGCGGACGCAGCAGGACAGAAUCUCCGUGGACAUCUGUCUGGAGGAGCAAUUUUACUGCGACAUUUUAAAGAAACAAAUUUAAUUGAUUUCCAAGGGUGUCCAUCGCGCUUCCUUCACUGCCUUGAUCAUGUCGGGGUCACCACCUGCGGGGGUUUGUCCUGCAGACCCUGACUCAACGACGGAUGAAUAAUGUACACUGACACAGAUCUUAUGCUUGUCAGUCCUGCUGAGCAUCCAGGCCACUUACAGACUCCAAGAAGAGUCCUGUCAGCCACGGCUCUGACUUGUUGGCCCUCCCGGCAUUUAUUUAGCACACAUUUAAUGACAGAAGUCUCAGGCUGGAAACACUCUUUUUGUAGAACAUACAAAUGGACAUUUCUAAGCACAUUGAGGCCUAUAAUGAAAAAUCAAAUAUCCCACAAUGAAAACUAGAAGGAAGCUAUCUGUGAUAAUGCUUUGUGGUGUAUGGAUUCAUCUCACUGACUGAAACCUGAGUUUUGAUUCACCAGGUUGGAAACACUCUUUUUGUAGAAUGUAUGAAGAGAUAUUUCUGAGGCCUGUUGUGAAAAACUGAGGUUUCCACAAGAAAAACUGGAAACAAGUUAUCUGAGAAAAUGCUUUAUGAUGGGUGAAUUCAUCUCACAAAAUUAAACCUUCGUUUUGAUUCAAAAGGUUGCAAACACUCUUUUUGCAGAAUCUAUGAAGGAACAUUUCUGAACCAAUUUUGGCCUAUAGUGGAAAACUGAACAUUCUGUGAUAUAAACUAGAGAAAAGAUAUCUGUGAAAAUGCUUUGCAAUGUGUGGAUUCAUCUCACUGGAUGGAACCUAUGCUUUGAUUUAGUAGGUUGGAAAUACUCAUUUUGUAGAAUCUACAAAGGAUAUUUCUGAGCCCCUUUGAGCCUGUAGUGAAAAAUCAAGGAUCCCAUGAAGAAAAACAGAAAAACACUAUCUGUCAAAAUGCUUAUUGGUGUGUGGAUUCUUCUUACCAAAUGGAACCUGUGUUUUGAUUCACCAGGUUGGAAACACUUUUUUGUAGAGUCUAUGAAGGGACAUUUCUCAGCCCAUUGAGGCCUAUAGUGAUGAACAAAAUAUCCCAUAAUAGAAGCUAGAAAAAAGCUAUUUCCAAAAAUGCUUUGCAAUGUGUGGAUUUAUCUUACAGAAUUAAACCUUUAUUUUGAUUUGACAGUCUGCAAACACUUUUUUUUGUAGAAAGUACAGAGGGACAUUUCUGAGACCAUCAAGAACUAUAGUAAAAAAAUCAAACAACCUGCCUUAAUAUUUAGAAACAAGCUAUCUGUUAAAAUGCUUUAGAAUAUUUUCAUUCAUGUCACAGAUUUCAACCUUUUUUUUGAUUCAACAAGAUAAAAACACUCUUUUAGUUGAAUCUACAAAAAGAUAUUUCAAAGUCCGUUGAGGCCUAUAGUGAAAAACUGAAUAUCCCAUGAUAAAAACUAGAAGUGAGCCCUGUGUGAAAAUGCUUUGUGAUGUGUGGAUUCAUCUCACAGAGUUAAACUUAUAUUUUUAUUCAACACCUUGGAAACACUCUUUUUGUAGCAUCUAUGAAGGGACAUUCUGAGGCCAUUGAGGCCUAUAGUGAAAAGCAGAAUAUCCUUCCUUAAAAUCUAGAAACAAUCUAUCUGUGAAGAUGAUUUAUGAUGUGAGCAUUUAUCUCACAGAUUUAAAACUAUGUUUUAAUUCAACAGGUAGGAAAAAGUCUUUUUGUAGAAUCUAUGAAAGGACACUUCUGAGCCCACGGAGACCUAUAGUGAAAAACUGAAUAUCCAGCAUUAAAAACUAGAAACAAGCUAUAUGUAAAAAUGUUUUGUGAUGUGUGGAUUCAUCUCUCCCAAUGGAACCUGUGUUUUGAUUCUCCAGGUUGGAAACACUUUUUGUGAAAUCUAUGAAGCGACAUUUCUGAGCCCAUUGAGGCAUAUUGUAAAAUUUGAAUAUUCCACGAUAAGAACUAGAAACAAGCUAUCUCUGAAAAUCCUUUUCAAUGUGUGGCUUCUCCUCACAGAGUUAAAUCUUUGUUUCAAUUCAACACCUUGAAAACACUUUUUUGGUAGAAUCUACGAAGGGACAUUUCUGACCCAUUGAGGCCUACAGUAAAAAAUGUAGGGACAUUUCUGAGCCCAUUGAAGCCUAUAGUUAAAAAACUAAUUUCUGGUGAUAAAAUCUAGAAACAAGCCAUCUGUGAAAAUGCUUUGUGAUGUAUGGAUUUAUCUCAAAAAGUUAAAACUAUGUUUUUAACCAACAGGUUGAAAUCACUCUUUUUGUAGAAUCUAUGAAAAGACGUUUCUGAGCCCACUGAGGCCUGUAGAGAAAAACUGUAUAUCCUGCAAUAAAAGCUAGAAGAAAAGCUCUCCGUGUAAAUGGUUCCCGAUGUGUGGGUUAAUCUCACAGAGUUAAACAUUUGUUUUUAUUUAACAGGUUAGAAACGUUCUUUUUGUAGAAUCUACGAAGGAAUAUUUCUGAGCCCAUUGAGGCCUAUAGCAAGAAGCCAUAUAUCCGUCAAUAAAAACUGGAAACAAGCUAUCUGUGAACAUUUUUUGUGAUGUAUGCAUUUAUCUCACCAAAUGGAACCUGUGUUUUGAUUCACCAGUUUGGAAACACUCUUUUGUGGAAUGCAUGAAGGGACAUUUCUUAGCCAAUUGAGGUGUAUAGUGAUAUACCAAAUAUCCCGGGAUAGAAACUAGAAACAAGUUAUCUGCAAAAAUGCUCUGUGAUGUGUGGAUUUAUCUCACAGAGAUGAAGCUUUGUUUUGAUUCAACAUGUUGGAAACACUUUUUUUGUAGAAUCUACAAAGGGACAUUUCUGAGACCAUUAAAAACUACAGUAAAAAAAGGUAUAAUGCACCUUAAAAUCUAGAAACAAAGCUAUCUGUGAAAAUGCUUUGCAAUAUGUGGAUUCAUGUCACAGAUUUAAACCUUUGUUUUGAUUGAACAAAUUGGAAACACUGUUUUAGUAGAUUAUAUAAAGGGACAUUUCAAAGCCCAUUGAAGCCUAUAGUGAAAAAUCAAAAAUCCCGUGAGCAAAAAUAGAAACAACCUCUGUGGGAAAAUGCUGUGUGAUACGUUCAUUCAUCUCACAGGGAUAACCUUUGUUUUUAUUCAACACCUUGGAAACAUUCUUUUUGUAGAGUCUAUGAAAAAAAUUUCUGAGCCAAUUGAAGUCUGUAGUGAAAAAGCUAAUAUCCCAUUUUAAAAUAUAAAACAAACUAUGAAAAUGAGUUUUGAUGUGUGGAUUCAUCGAGAGUUAGACCUUUGUUCUAAAUCAACAGGUUAAGAACACUCUUUUUGUAGAAUCUAUGAAAAAACAUUUCUGAGCCCGUUGAGGCCUAUUGCGAAGUGAAUCUCUUGCAAUAAAAAGCAGAAACCAGCUCUCUGUGAAAUAAUUUUGUGAUGUACAAAUUUAUCUUGCAGAGUUAAAACUUUGUUUUAAUUCAACAAGUUGAAACCUUCUUUUUGUAGAAUCUGCAAAGAGACAUUUCUGAGCCCAUUGAGGCCAAUAGCAAAAAAAUGAAUAUCCCACAAUAAAAACUAGAAACAAAACAGCUGUGUAAAUGCUUUGCAAUAUGUGGAUUCGUCUCACUGAGUUAAACCUAUGUUUUGAUUCAACAAGUUAAAAAACUUGUUUUUGUAGUAUCUUCGAAGGGACAAUUCUGAGCCUAUGGAGAUUAUAGCAAAAAACUGAAUAUCCUGCAAUAAAAACUAGAAACAAGAUAUCCGUGGAAAUGCUUUGAGAUGUGUAGAUUUAUUUCACAGAAUUAAACCUUUGUUUUGAUUUAACAGGUUGGAACCACUCUAUUUUAAGAAUCUAUGAAGAAAUAUCUUUGUCCCUAUUGUACACUAUAGUGGACAACUGAAUACUUCAUGACAAAAACUAGAAACAAGCUAGCUGUGAAAAUGCUUUGCAAUGGGUGAAUUCAUCUCACUCAGUUAAACCUUCGUUUUGAUUCAACAAGGGUGAAACACUCUUUUGGUAGAAUCUACAAAGAAACAUUUAUGAGCCCCUUGAGGACUAUAGUGAAAAAAUGAAUCUCCUGCAUUAAUAUCUAGAAACAAUCUAUUUGUGAAAAUGCUGUGUGAUGCAUGGAUCCAUCUCACAGAUUUCAAACUUUAUUUUGAUUCAACAGGCUGGAAACACUCUUGUUAUAGAAGCUACGAAGGGUCAUUUCUGAACCCAUUGAGGCCAAUAGUGAAAAACUAAAUAUCCUGCAAUAAACCUAGAAAAAAUCUAUCUGCGAAAAUACUUUGUGUAGUGUGGAUGAGUGUCUCAGGGUUAAACAUUUGUUUUUAUUCACCAGGUUCGAAACACUCUUUUUGUUGAACAGACAAAGGGACAUUUCUUAGCCCAGUUAGGCCUAUAAAGGUAAACCGAAUAUCCCGUGAUACAUAGUAGAAACAAGCUAUCUGCAAAAAUGCUUUGUGAAUUGUAGAUUCAUCUCACAGAAUUAAGCCUUUGUUUUAAUUCAACAGGUUAAAAACACUAUUUUUGUAGACUCUACGAAGAAACAUUUCUGAAACCAUUGAAACCUAUGGGGGAAAAAAACCCCCGAAAUUCCUGUGAUAAGAAAUGGAAAGCAGCUAUCUGUGAAAAUGCUUUGUAAUGUGUGGAUUCUUCUCACAGAGUUAAACCUUUGUUCUGAUUCAACAUUGUUCAGAACACUCUUUUUGUAGAAUCUACAGAGAUACUUUUUAGCAUUUUGAGGCCUCUAGUGAAAAACCGAAUGUCCUGCAAUAGAAACUGGAAACAACCUUCUGUGAAAAUGCUUUGUGAUUCGUCUAUUCAUCUCAAAGAAUGAAACUUGUGCUUUGAUUCAACAGGUUGGAAAACCCUUUUUGUAGAAUCUACGUAGGAACAUUUCUGAGCCCAUUGAGGCCUCUAGUGAAAAAACUGAAUAUCCCAGAAUUAAAACUAUAAACAAGCUAUCUGUGAAGAAGCUUUGUAAUAUGUGCAUUCAUCUAACAGAUAUAAGCGUGUAUUUUGAUUUGCCUGGUUGGGAACACUCUUUUUGUACAGUCUAUAAAGAAACAUUUCUGAGUGCAUUGAGUCAUAUGUUGAAAAAUCGAAUAUCUCGUGAUAAAAACUAGGCAGGAGGUAUCUGUGAAAAUGCUUUGAGAUGUGUGGGUAUUGGCCUCACAGAGUUAAACUUUUGUUUUGAUUCAACAGUUUGGAAACAUACUUUGUAGAAUCUACAAUGACAUAUUUCUGAGCCCAUUGAGGCCUGUAGUGAAAAACCGAAUAUCCCAUGAUAAAAACUCAAAACAAGCGAUAUGUGAAAAUGCUUUGUGACGUGUGGUUCAUCUCAUAGAGUUAAACCUGGUUUUGAUCCACUACAUUGGAAACACUCUUAUUGUAGAAUCUACAAAAAAAAAUUUCUGAGACCAUUGAGGUCUCUAGUGAAAAACUGAAUAUCCCAUGAUAAAAACUAGAUACAAGCUAUCUGUGAAAAUGCUUUGCAAUGUGUGGAUUUGUCUCACAAAGUUAAACCUGUGUUUGAUUCAACGGGUUGGAAACACUUUUUUUGUAGAAUCUAUGAAGAAACAUUUCUGAGACCAUUGAAGCCUAUAGUAAAAAAUUGAAUAUCCUGUGAUAUAAAUGAGAAACAAGUUAUCUACGAAAAUGUAUAUUAAUCUCACUGAAUGCAACCUGUGUUUUACUUCACCAGGUUAAAGAUGCUCUGUUGGUAAAAUCUGUGAAGGGACAUUUCUGAGCACAUUGAGGCCUAUAGUGAAAAAACGAAUAUCCUGCUAUAAAAACUAGAAACAAGCUAUGUGUGAAAAUGCUUUGCAAUGUGUGGAUUCACCUCACAGAUUUAAACCUUUGUUUUGUUUCAACAGGUUGGAAACACUCUUUUUGUAGUUGAACGAAGGGACAUUUUUGAGUCCCUUGAGGCCUAUAGUAAUGAACAGAAUAUCCUGCAAUAAAAAUUAGAA
rnacentral:lncRNA from 1 species